UCGGGAUAGCUCAGUUGGUCA
rnacentral:tRNA from 3 species